rnacentral:rRNA from 1 species
UUGAACGCUGGCGGCAGGCCUAACACAUGCAAGUCGAGCGGUAACACAGAGAGCUUGCUCUCGGGUGACGAGCGGCGGACGGGUGAGUAAUGUCUGGGAAACUGCCUGAUGGAGGGGGAUAACUACUGGAAACGGUAGCUAAUACCGCAUAACGUCGCAAGACCAAAGUGGGGGACCUUCGGGCCUCAUGCCAUCAGAUGUGCCCAGAUGGGAUUAGCUAGUAGGUGGGGUAACGGCUCACCUAGGCGACGAUCCCUAGCUGGUCUGAGAGGAUGACCAGCCACACUGGAACUGAGACACGGUCCAGACUCCUACGGGAGGCAGCAGUGGGGAAUAUUGCACAAUGGGCGCAAGCCUGAUGCAGCCAUGCCGCGUGUGUGAAGAAGGCCUUCGGGUUGUAAAGCACUUUCAGCGGGGAGGAAGGCGGUGAGGUUAAUAACCUCAUCGAUUGACGUUACCCGCAGAAGAAGCACCGGCUAACUCCGUGCCAGCAGCCGCGGUAAUACGGAGGGUGCAAGCGUUAAUCGGAAUUACUGGGCGUAAAGCGCACGCAGGCGGUCUGUCAAGUCGGAUGUGAAAUCCCCGGGCUCAACCUGGGAACUGCAUUCGAAACUGGCAGGCUAGAGUCUUGUAGAGGGGGGUAGAAUUCCAGGUGUAGCGGUGAAAUGCGUAGAGAUCUGGAGGAAUACCGGUGGCGAAGGCGGCCCCCUGGACAAAGACUGACGCUCAGGUGCGAAAGCGUGGGGAGCAAACAGGAUUAGAUACCCUGGUAGUCCACGCCGUAAACGAUGUCGAUUUGGAGGUUGUGCCCUUGAGGCGUGGCUUCCGGAGCUAACGCGUUAAAUCGACCGCCUGGGGAGUACGGCCGCAAGGUUAAAACUCAAAUGAAUUGACGGGGGCCCGCACAAGCGGUGGAGCAUGUGGUUUAAUUCGAUGCAACGCGAAGAACCUUACCUGGUCUUGACAUCCACAGAACUUGCCAGGGAUGGAUUGGUGCCUUCGGGAACUGUGAGACAGGUACUGCAUGGCUGUCGUCAGCUCGUGUUGUGAAAUGUUGGGUUAAGUCCCGCAACGAGCGCAACCCUUAUCCUUUGUUGCCAGCGGUUCGGCCGGGAACUCAAAGGAGACUGCCAGUGAUAAACUGGAGGAAGGUGGGGAUGACGUCAAGUCAUCAUGGCCCUUACGACCAGGGCUACACACGUGCUACAAUGGCAUAUACAAAGAGAAGCGACCUCGCGAGAGCAAGCGGACCUCAUAAAGUAUGUCGUAGUCCGGAUUGGAGUCUGCAACUCGACUCCAUGAAGUCGGAAUCGCUAGUAAUCGUAGAUCAGAAUGCUACGGUGAAUACGUUCCCGGGCCUUGUACACACCGCCCGUCACACCAUGGGAGUGGGUUGCAAAAGAAGUAGGUAGCUUAACCUUCGGGAGGGCGCUUACCACUUUGUGAUUCAUGACUGGGGUG